GCAGUCGAGCGGAACGAGUUAUCUGAACCUUCGGGGAACGAUAACGGCGUCGAGCGGCGGACGGGUGAGUAAUGCCUAGGAAAUUGCCUUGAUGUGGGGGAUAACCAUUGGAAACGAUGGCUAAUACCGCAUGAUGCCUACGGGCCAAAGAGGGGGACCUUCGGGCCUCUCGCGUCAAGAUAUGCCUAGGUGGGAUUAGCUAGUUGGUGAGGUAAUGGCUCACCAAGGCGACGAUCCCUAGCUGGUCUGAGAGGAUGAUCAGCCACACUGGAACUGAGACACGGUCCAGACUCCUACGGGAGGCAGCAGUGGGGAAUAUUGCACAAUGGGCGCAAGCCUGAUGCAGCCAUGCCGCGUGUAUGAAGAAGGCCUUCGGGUUGUAAAGUACUUUCAGCAGUGAGGAAGGGGGUGUCGUUAAUAGCGGCAUCUCUUGACGUUAGCUGCAGAAGAAGCACCGGCUAACUCCGUGCCAGCAGCCGCGGUAAUACGGAGGGUGCGAGCGUUAAUCGGAAUUACUGGGCGUAAAGCGCAUGCAGGUGGUUUGUUAAGUCAGAUGUGAAAGCCCGGGGCUCAACCUCGGAACUGCAUUUGAAACUGGCAAACUAGAGUACUGUAGAGGGGGGUAGAAUUUCAGGUGUAGCGGUGAAAUGCGUAGAGAUCUGAAGGAAUACCAGUGGCGAAGGCGGCCCCCUGGACAGAUACUGACACUCAGAUGCGAAAGCGUGGGGAGCAAACAGGAUUAGAUACCCUGGUAGUCCACGCCGUAAACGAUGUCUACUUGGAGGUUGUGGCCUUGAGCCGUGGCUUUCGGAGCUAACGCGUUAAGUAGACCGCCUGGGGAGUACGGUCGCAAGAUUAAAACUCAAAUGAAUUGACGGGGGCCCGCACAAGCGGUGGAGCAUGUGGUUUAAUUCGAUGCAACGCGAAGAACCUUACCUACUCUUGACAUCCAGAGAACUUAGCAGAGAUGCUUUGGUGCCUUCGGGAACUCUGAGACAGGUGCUGCAUGGCUGUCGUCAGCUCGUGUUGUGAAAUGUUGGGUUAAGUCCCGCAACGAGCGCAACCCUUAUCCUUGUUUGCCAGCGAGUAAUGUCGGGAACUCCAGGGAAACUGCCGGUGAUAAACCGG
rnacentral:rRNA from 1 species